rnacentral:rRNA from 1 species
AUUGAACGCUGGCGGCAGGCUUAACACAUGCAAGUCGAGCGGAGAUGAGGUGCUUGCACCUUAUCUUAGCGGCGGACGGGUGAGUAAUGCUUAGGAAUCUGCCUAUUAGUGGGGGACAACAUUCCGAAAGGAAUGCUAAUACCGCAUACGUCCUACGGGAGAAAGCAGGGGAUCUUCGGACCUUGCGCUAAUAGAUGAGCCUAAGUCGGAUUAGCUAGUUGGUGGGGUAAAGGCCUACAAAGGCGACGAUCUGUAGCGGGUCUGAGAGGAUGGUCCGCCACACUGGGACUGAGACACGGACCAGACUCCUACGGGAGGCAGCAGUGGGGAAUAUUGGACAAUGGGGGGAACCCUGAGCCAGCCAUGCCGCGUGUGUGAAGAAGGCCUUAUGGUUGUAAAGCACUUUAAGCGAGGAGGAGGCUACUGAGACUAAUACUCUUGGAUAGUGGACGUUACUCGCAGAAUAAGCACCGGCUAACUCUGUGCCAGCCGCCGCGGUAAAAC